UACAGAGGGUGCGAGCGUUAAUCGGAAUUACUGGGCGUAAAGCGUGCGUAGACGGUUAUUUAAGUCGGGUGUGAAAGCCCCGGGCUCAACCUGGGAAUUGCAUUCGAGACUGAAUAGCUAGGGUACGGUAGAGGGAAGUGGAAUUCCGAGUGUAGAGGUGAAAUUCGUAGAUAUUCGGAAGAACACCAGUGGCGAAGGCGACUUACUGGACACAUAUUGACGCUGAGGUGCGAAAGCGUGGGGAGCAAACAGG
rnacentral:rRNA from 1 species